rnacentral:rRNA from 1 species
CGGAGGAUCCAAGCGUUAUCCGGAAUCAUUGGGUUUAAAGGGUCCGUAGGCGGUUUGAUAAGUCAGUGGUGAAAGCCCAUCGCUCAACGAUGGAACGGCCAUUGAUACUGUCAGACUUGAAUUAUUGGGAAGUAACUAGAAUAUGUAGUGUAGCGGUGAAAUGCUUAGAUAUUACAUGGAAUACCAAUUGCGAAGGCAGGUUACUAUCAAUAUAUUGACGCUGAUGGACGAAAGCGUGGGGAGCGAACAGGAUUAGAUACCCUGGUAGUCCACGCCGUAAACGAUGGAUACUAGCUGUUCGGAGCAAUCUGAGUGGCUAAGCGAAAGUGAUAAGUAUCCCACCUGGGGAGUACGUUCGCAAGAAUG